GACGAACGCUGGCGGCGUGCUUAACACAUGCAAGUCGAACGGAAAGGCCCUGCUUUUGUUGGGUGCUCGAGUGGCGAACGGGUGAGUAACACGCGAGUAACCUCCCCUUGACUUUGGGAUAACUUCAGGAAACUGGGGCUCAUACCGGAUAGGAGCUCCUGCUGCAUGGUGGUGGUUGGAAAGUUUCGGCGGUUGUGGAUCGACUCGCUGCUUAUCAGCUUGUUUGUGUGGUAGUUGCUUACCAAGCCUUUGACGGGUAGCCGGCCUGAGAGGGUGAACGGCCACAAGGGGACUGAGAGACGGCGCAGAAGCGUACGGGAGGCAACAGGGGGGAAUAUGGCACAGUGAGGGGAAGCGUGAGGCAGAGACGCCGCGUGCGGGAUGACGGCCUUUGGGUUGUAAACAGAUGUCGCAUGUGACGAAGAGUGAGUGACGGUAAUGGGUAAAGAAGCACCGGCUAACUACGUG
rnacentral:rRNA from 1 species